rnacentral:rRNA from 1 species
UGAGGAAUAUUGGUCAAUGGGCGAGAGCCUGAACCAGCCAAGUCGCGUGAAGGAAGAAGGUUCUAUGGAUUGUAAACUUCUUUUGUAAGGGAAUAAAAAGAGUUACGUGUAACUUAUUGUCUGUACUUUACGAAUAAGGAUCGGCUAACUCCGUGCCAGCAGCCGCGGUAAUACGGAGGAUCCAAGCGUUAUCCGGAUUUAUUGGGUGUAAAGGGUGCGUAGGCGGGCCCUUAAGUCAGUGGUGAAAGUUUGCAGCUUAACUGUAAAAUUGCCAUUGAAACGGAGGGGCGUGAGUGUAAAUAAGGUAGGCGGAAUGUGUUGUGUAGCGGUGAAAUGCUUAGAUAUAACACAGAACACCAAUUGCGAAGGCAGCUUACUGGGAUACAACUGACGCUGAGGCACGAAAGCGUGGGGAUCAAACA